GACGAACGCUGGCGGCGUGCCUAAUACAUGCAAGUCGAGCGGACCACUUCGGUGGUCAGCGGCGGACGGGUGAGUAACACGUGGGCAACCUGCCUGUAAGACUGGGAUAACACCGGGAAACCGGUGCUAAUACCGGAUAAUCCUUUCCUUCACAUGAGGGAAAGCUGAAAGACGGUUUCGGCUGUCACUUACAGAUGGGCCCGCGGCGCAUUAGCUAGUUGGUGAGGUAACGGCUCACCAAGGCAACGAUGCGUAGCCGACCUGAGAGGGUGAUCGGCCACACUGGGACUGAGACACGGCCCAGACUCCUACGGGAGGCAGCAGUAGGGAAUCUUCCGCAAUGGACGAAAGUCUGACGGAGCAACGCCGCGUGAGCGAUGAAGGCCUUCGGGUCGUAAAGCUCUGUUGUCAGGGAAGAACAAGUACCGGAGUAACUGCCGGUACCUUGACGGUACCUGACCAGAAAGCCACGGCUAACUACGUGCCAGCCGCCGCGGUAAAAC
rnacentral:rRNA from 1 species